rnacentral:rRNA from 1 species
UUGCUCUCUGGAUCAGUGGCGAACGGGUGAGUAACACGUGAGCAAUCUGCCCCUGACUCUGGGAUAACAGCUGGAAACAGCUGCUAAUACCGGAUACGAGUUGCGAAGGCAUCUUCAGCAGCUGGAAAGAAUUUCGGUCAGGGAUGAGCUCGCGGCCUAUCAGCUUGUUGGUGAGGUAAUGGCUCACCAAGGCGUCGACGGGUAGCCGGCCUGAGAGGGUGACCGGCCACACUGGGACUGAGACACGGCCCAGACUCCUACGGGAGGCAGCAGUGGGGAAUAUUGCACAAUGGGCGAAAGCCUGAUGCAGCAACGCCGCGUGAGGGACGACGGCCUUCGGGUUGUAAACCUCUUUUAGCAAGGAAGAAGCGAAAGUGACGGUACUUGCAGAAAAAGCGCCGGCUAACUACGUGCCAGCAGCCGCGGUAAUACGUAGGGCGCAAGCGUUAUCCGGAAUUAUUGGGCGUAAAGAGCUCGUAGGCGGUUUGUCGCGUCUGCUGUGAAAACCCGAGGCUCAACCUCGGGCCUGCAGUGGGUACGGGCAGACUAGAGUGCGGUAGGGGAGAUUGGAACUCCUGGU